rnacentral:tRNA from 1 species
CUAGGCAAACGGGCCUCGAUCCCGUAAAUAUUUAAUUAACAACCAAACACCCAAUCCAGCGGGCUUUUGCCUACCCCCUCCCCCUUGAAUAAAAAGGGGGAGA